rnacentral:rRNA from 1 species
CAUUAAAAAGUUAAUUGUGAAAUUCAAUUUAAUUUGAAAUUAUAAUUUUAUUUUAAUUUUUUAUUUUAUUUUUAUUAUUUAAAGAAUAAAUUAAUUUUAUUAUAUUUAAGAAAAAAUUUAUUUUAUUAUAGUAAAGUAGUAUUGAAUCAGAAAAUUUUUAAUUAAAAAUAAGAAAAAUUUAUUAUUUGUACCUUGUGUAUCAGGGUUUAUUAAAAAAUAUAUAAAAAUAUUUAUAAAUCUCGAAUUUAAAAGAUCUAAUAAAAAAAAAUUGUUAUUAUAGAAUAAUUAAAAUUAAAUUUUUUAUUAGUAAUGAAAUGUUAUUCGUUUUUAAAUAUAUCUAGUUUUUUAAGAAAUUAAUUAAAUUAAUUUAUUAUUAAUAUAUUUUUUAUUUAUUAAUUAUAUAUUAUUAAUAAAAAAUAUUUUUGGGGAUGAGCUUAAGAAUAGAUUAUUAUUAGGAUUAUUAUUAUAAUUAAAAAUUAGAAUUAAAAAUUUUCAUAUUUUUAAGUAUGUUAUUAUUUAUUAUUAUUUAUUAUUAUUUAUAUAUUCUAUAAAUAUUUUAUUAAAAUAUAAAUUAAAAUUUUAAAAAUUUAGAAAUUAUGAUAAAAUUAGUAUAUUUUUAUGUUAAAUUUUAUUAAUUUUUAGGUUUAAUUAAGGAAUUCGGCAAAUAAUUUUUCACCUGUUUAUUAAAAACAUGUCUUUUUGUAAAAAUAUAAAGUCUAGCCUGCCCAUUGAUUAAUUGAAUGGCCGCGGUAUUUUGACCGUGCUAAGGUAGCAUAAUCAUUAGUUUUUUAAUUGAAAACUGGAAUGAAGGGUUGGAUGAAAAAAUAGCUGUCUCUGUUAAAAUAUAAUAAAAUUUUAUUUUUAAGUUAAAAAGCUUAAAUUUUAUUAAAAGACGAGAAGACCCUAUAGAGUUUAAUAAUUACUUAAAUUUAUUUUUUUGGGAUUAAUUUUUUAAAUAAAAUUAAUUAUUUAAUUGGGGUGAUUAAAAAAUUUAAUAAACUUUUUUUGUAUAAUUAUAUUAAUUUAUAAAUUAUUGAUCCAAUAUUUUUGAUUAAAAGAUAAAAUUACCUUAGGGAUAACAGCGUAAUUUUAUUAGAGAGUUCUUAUUAAUAAUAAAGGUUGCGACCUCGAUGUUGGAUUAAAAUUUAUAAUUGGUGCAGAAGCUAUAUUAUUAAGUCUGUUCGACUUUUAAAAUUUUACAUGAUCUGAGUUUAAACCGGUGUAAGCCAGGUUGGUUUCUAUCUUUAAUUUGUUAAUAUAUUUUAGUACGAAAGGACCAAGUGUAUAAAUGAAAUUUUUUUUUUGAUAAAAAUUAUUAUUUUGGCAGAUUAAUGUAAUAGAUUUAGAAUCUUUAAAUGUAAUUUAUAUUAC